rnacentral:rRNA from 1 species
AGUCAACAUGCCCAGAGGACGUGGAUAACCUCGGGAAACUGAGUCUAAACCGCGAUAAGUGAGGAUUUCUGGAAUGGUUCCUGACUAAAAUCUAUAUGGCCUCUGGAUUGGACUGCGGCCGAUCAGGCUGUUGGUGAGGUAAUGGCCCAUCAAACCUGUAACCGGUACGGGCUCUGAGAGGAGGAGCCCGGAGAUGGGCACUGAGACAAGGGCCCAGGCCCUAUGGGGCGCAGCAGGCGCGAAACCUCUGCAAUAGGCGAAAGCCUGACAGAGUUACUCUGAGUGACUUUCGCUAAGAAAGUCUUUUGGCACCUUUAAAAAGGGUGCAGAAUAAGGGGUGGGCAAGUCUGGUGUCAGCCGCCGCGGUAAUACCAGCACCCCGAGUGGUCGGGACGAUUAUUGGGCCUAAAGCAUCCGUAGCCGGUUCUGCAAGUCCCCCGUUAAAUCCAGCUGCUCAACAGAUGGGCCGCGGAGGAUACUACAGAGCUAGGAGGCAGGAGAGGCAAGCGGUACUCAGUGGGUAGGGGUAAAAUCCGUUGAUCCAUUGAAGACCACCAGUGGCGAAGGCGGCUUGCCAGAAUGCGCUCGACGGUGAGGGAUGAAAGCUGGGGGAGCAAACCGGAUUAGAUACCCGGGUAGUCCCAGCCGUAAACGAUGCAGACUCGGUGAUGGGUUGGCUUCGCGCUAACCCAGUGCCGCAGGGAAGCCGUUAAGUCUGCCGCCUGGGUAGUACGGUCGCAAGACUGAAACUUAA